rnacentral:sRNA from 1 species
ACACAGGACCUCUGGAAGAGCAGCCAGUGCUCUUAACCACUGAGCCAUCUCUCUAGUUUUCAGCUUUUAACGCCUGAUUUGAUAGUACAGUUCAUCACGUUCAUCACAGCAGCAGGCACAGUGGGGCACAGUGAGCCACAGUCAGAAGAGAUGAGGGGCUGAUUCCCAGCUUUUCUUAUUUAGUUCAUUCAGCGGUGCCACCCACACACAGAAUGGGUCUUCCCUCCUCAGUUCAAGCUUUUUGGAAACAUCCUCAGAGACACACCCAAAGGUCUGUAUGAGUUCACAGCGAUUCUAAAUCCAGUUACGUUCGGUUGGGUUUGCAUUGUUCUGCCGCAACAAUGAAAAAAGUAACCCUCUCUCCAUCUUCACCCUCACCCCCACCUUCACCAUCCUCCUCACCACGUGAGGAUGGAUAAAGUCGCCACAGAUCCUCAGUAUUGAUGACAGCCAUGUUCCGGCCUUGCCUGACUUGCUUGACCCACCCUGGUCGCACCAGACCUGCUCUCUGCCGAGCUACAAUGUCGAUACAGUUACAGAAUGAAUUGCAGGCCCUGCUCUUCUGCUGCUACAUCCCGGUGUCAUCCAUAAGAAACAGUGACAAGAAGUGAGUCUCUGCAGCACUCCCGCUGCCUUCAGAUGCAUUGCAUGAGAGAGCACAGCUUCCAUCCAUGUUUGCUAAACACAGCUUCCAUCCAUGUUGGCUGAACAGCCGGCCCCUCACCCUGCGGUUGCCAUGGCUCCUGGGUUCAUUCAAAGGGCUUCUCUGGGUCAAACCAACAUGCGGGGAAGGCGGGGGGCAGAGACUCUAGCCAUACAGCAGGUUAGCCAGGGAGCUGGGCCUUCACUCCGACUUCCAGCUCUCUCCCUGCUGCUCACCGUCACUGUCCCAGACAGCAAAGAGUAACUGACUCAGGAAAACAGGCUCGUGGAUGCCCUCGGGGACCUGCCCGCUGAGGAUCUCUUAGUCACCGGCAGGCAGCCAAGGAGGAGCCCUUUGUGGUCUUGGCUUUUCACUCAAGGUUUGUGGCCAAGUCUAGAAAGGCAGCUUUCACCUUCAACGAAGGUAUCUGGGUCUCAGUCAAGACUGAUCUACACUUGACUCCCUGUCUGCCAGACAACUAUGGAAUGCAUCGUGGACGGGAUAAAGCAGGAUGGAGAGGAAGACGCUCAUGCUCACCGCAUGUCAGGACUGGAGAGAUGGCUCAGCGGUUAAGAGCACUGACUGCUCUUCCAGAGGUCUUGAGUUCAAUUCCCAGCAACCACGUGGUGGCUCACAACCAUCUGUAAUGGGAUCCAAUGUCCCCUUCUGGUGUGUCUGAAGACAGCUACAGUCUUAUCAUGUAUAUAAAAUAAAUAAAUCUUUUUAAAAAA